rnacentral:rRNA from 1 species
GGCUCAGGAUGAACGCUGGCGGCGUGCCUAAUACAUGCAAGUCGAGCGAAUGGAUUAAGAGCUUGCUCUUAUGAAGUUAGCGGCGGACGGGUGAGUAACACGUGGGUAACCUGCCCAUAAGACUGGGAUAACUCCGGGAAACCGGGGCUAAUACCGGAUAACAUUUUGAACYGCAUGGUUCGAAAUUGAAAGGCGGCUUCGGCUGUCACUUAUGGAUGGACCCGCGUCGCAUUAGCUAGUUGGUGAGGUAACGGCUCACCAAGGCAACGAUGCGUAGCCGACCUGAGAGGGUGAUCGGCCACACUGGGACUGAGACACGGCCCAGACUCCUACGGGAGGCAGCAGUAGGGAAUCUUCCGCAAUGGACGAAAGUCUGACGGAGCAACGCCGCGUGAGUGAUGAAGGCUUUCGGGUCGUAAAACUCUGUUGUUAGGGAAGAACAAGUGCUAGUUGAAUAAGCUGGCACCUGAC